CUGGUUGAUCCUGCCAGUAGUCAUAUGCUUGUCUCAAAGAUUAAGCCAUGCAUGUCUAAGUAUAAGCACUUGUACUGUGAAACUGCGAAUGGCUCAUUAAAUCAGUUAUCGUUUAUUUGAUCGUACCUUUACUACUUGGAUAACCGUGGUAAUUCUAGAGCUAAUACAUGCGAAAAGUCCCGACUUCUGGAAGGGAUGUAUUUAUUAGAUUCAAAACCAAUGCGGGUUCUGCCCGGUCAUUUGGUGAUUCAUAGUAACUGUUCGAAUCGCAGGGCCUCGCGCCGGCGAUGUUUCAUUCAUACCCUUUUAUUUCUCACCUGGGAAUAGUGUAUAUAUCAUGACAUUAUUGCCAAUCAUUUUUAAUGCUGUUUCAAGCCAAAAAAGUGCAACAGUCAGAACAUAGAAUUUUUUGCAUGAAACAGUUGAUUAACAAUAUACUACACU
rnacentral:ncRNA from 1 species